GCGAAAAGAACCCCGGGAGGGGAGUGAAAUAGAUCCUGAAACCGCAUACAUACAAACAGUAGGAGCCCGCAAGGGUGACUGCGUACCUUUUGCAUAAUGGGUCAGCGACUUACGUUCAAUGGCAAGCUUAACCGAGUAGGGGAGGCGCAGCGAAAGCGAGUCCGAACAGGGCGACAUGAGUCGUUGGGCGUAGACCCGAAACCAGAUGAUCUAUCCAUGGCCAGGCUGAAGGUGUGGUAACACACACUGGAGGGCCGAACCGACUAGUGUUGCAAAAUUAGCGGAUGAGCUGUGGAUAGGGGUGAAAGGCUAAACAAAUCUGGAGAUAGCUGGUUCUCCCCGAAAACUAUUGAGGUAGUGCCUCGUGUAUGGCUCCAGGGGGUAGAGCACUGUUAUGGCUAGGGGGACAUGGCGUCUUACCAAACCAUGGCAAACUCCGAAUACUUGGAAGUCUGAGCACGGGAGACAGAGCACCGGGUGCUAACGUCCGGACUCAAAAGGGAAACAACCCAGACCGCCGGCUAAGGUCCCUAAUAUUGACUAAGUGGAAAACGAAGUGGGAAGGCUAAGACAGUCAGGAAGUUGGCUUAGAAGCAGCCAUCCUUCAAAGAAAGCGUAAUAGCUCACUGAUCGAGUCUUCCUGCGCGGAAGAUGUAACGGGGCUAAGUCAAUAACCGAAGCCGCGGAUUCGCAGCAAUGCGAGUGGUAGGGGAGCGUUCUGUAAGCCUGCGAAGGCGGAUCUGCGAGGACCGCUGGAGGUAUCAGAAGUGCGAAUGCUGACAUGAGUAACGUUAAAGCGGGUGAAAAGCCCGCUCGCCGCAAGCCCAAGGUUUCCUGCUCUACGUUCAUCGGAGCAGGGUGAGUCGGCCCCUAAGGUCAGGCUGAGAAGCGUAGCUGAUGGGAAGCUGGUUAAUAUUCCAGCACCGAUUUCAAGUGCGAAGGGGGGACGGAGUCCUGAAGGUCAUCCGGGUGUUGGAUAUCCCGGUUUACGAGCGUAGGAGGUUGACAGGCAAAUCCGUCAACGGAUCUCCAAGGCGAAGGAUCGAGGUUGAGAGAUCAACUGAAGUGACUGAAUGGGCUUCCAGGAAAAGCCUCUAAGCAUCAGCUUGGAAUUGACCGUACCGCAAACCGACACUGGUGGGCGAGCUGAAUAUGCUCAGGCGCUUGAGAGAACUCAGGAGAAGGAACUCGGCAAAUUGACACCGUAACUUCGGGAUAAGGUGUGCCUUUGUAGUGUGAAGGGAGAAACACCCCGAGCAUGAAGAGGCCUCAGAGAAUCGGUGGCUGCAACUGUUUACUAAAAACACAGCACUCUGCAAAGAUGAAAGUCGACGUAUAGGGUGUGAUGCCUGCCCGGUGCUGGAAGAUUAAUUGAUGGGGUGCAAGCUCCUGAUCGAAGUCCCAGUAAACGGCGGCCGUAACUAUAACGGUCCUAAGGUAGCGAAAUUCCUUGUCGGGCAAGUUCCGACCUGCACGAAUGGCAUAAUGAUGGCCACACUGUCUCCUCCUGAGACUCAGUGAAGUUGAAAUGUUUGUGAUGAUGCAAUCUCCCCGCGGCUAGACGGAAAGACCCCAUGAACCUUUACUGCAGCUUUGCAUUGGACUUUGAACCGAUCUGUGUAGGAUAGGUGGGAGGCAGUGAAGCUAGGACGCCAGUCUUAGCGGAGCCAACCUUGAAAUACCACCCUGAUUUGUUUGAGGUUCUAACCUAGGAGCGUGAUCCGCUUCGGGGACCGUGCAUGGUAGGCAGUUUGACUGGGGCGGUCUCCUCCUAAAGGGUAACGGAGGAGUGCGAAGGUACGCUAGGUACGGUCGGAAAUCGUGCUGAUAGUGCAAUGGCAAAAGCGUGCUUGACUGCGAGACCGACAAGUCGAGCAGAUACGAAAGUAGGUCAUAGUGAUCCGGUGGCUCUGC
rnacentral:rRNA from 1 species